rnacentral:rRNA from 1 species
AACGAACGCUGGCGGCAGGCUUAACACAUGCAAGUCGAACGCCCCGCAAGGGGAGUGGCGCACGGGUGAGUAACGCGUGGAUAUCUGCCUUUUGGUUCGGAAUAACCCCGGGAAACUGGGGCUAAUACCGGAUGGUUCCUACGGGAUAAAGAUUUAUCGCCAAAAGAUGAGUCCGCGUACGAUUAGCUAGUUGGUGAGGUAAUGGCUCACCAAGGCGACGAUCGUUAGCUGGUCUGAGAGGACGAUCAGCCACGCUGGGACUGAGACACGGCCCAGACUCCUACGGGAGGCAGCAGUGGGGAAUAUUGGACAAUGGGGGCAACCCUGAUCCAGCCAUGCCGCGUGAGUGAUGAAGGCCUUCGGGUUGUAAAGCUCUUUUGGCGGGGACGAUGAUGACGGUACCCGCAGAAUAAGCCCCGGCUAACUUCGUG